CAGCCGCCACGGGAAUACGAAGGGGGCUAGCGUUGCUCGGAAUGACUGGGCGUAAAGGGCGCGUAGGCGGCGAUCAAAGUCAGGCGUGAAAUUCCUGGGCUCAACCUGGGGGCUGCGUUUGAUACUUGAUUGCUAGAGUGGGGAAGAGGGUCGUGGAAUUCCCAGUGUAGAGGUGAAAUUCGUAGAUAUAGGAAGGAACACCAGUGGCGAAGGCGACCACCUGGGCUCAUACUGACACUGAGGUGCGAAAGCGUGGGGAGCAAACAGGAUUAGAUACCCCGGUAGUCCCUGUCUCUUAUAC
rnacentral:rRNA from 1 species